AUUGAACGCUGGCGGCAGGCCUAACACAUGCAAGUCGAGCGGAGCGGCGGACGGGUGAGUAAUGCCUAGGAAUCUGCCUGGUAGUGGGGGAUAACGUCCGGCAACGGGCGCUAAUACCGCAUACUAUCAGAUGAGCCUAGGUCGGAUUAGCUAGUUGGUGGGGUAAAGGCCUACCAAGGCGACGAUCCGUAACUGGUCUGAGGGGAUGAUCAGUCACACUGGAACUGAGACACCGUUCAGACUCCUACGUGAGGCAGCAGUGGGGAAUAUGGGAAAAGGGGCGAAAGCAUGAUCCAGCCAUGCUGCGUGGGUGAAGAAGGACGUCGGAUUGUAAAGCACUUUAAGUUGGGAGGCGGUACCAACAGAAUAAGCACCGGCUAACUGCGGGCCAGCAGCCGCGGGAAUUC
rnacentral:rRNA from 1 species